GUCCUUGUAGCGCAAUAGAUAGCGCGUUGGACUUCUAAUCCAAAGGUCGUGGGUUCGGAUCCCACCUGGGAUA
rnacentral:tRNA from 1 species